AUUGAACGCUGGCGGCAUGCCUAACACAUGCAAGUCGAACGAGUGGCGGACGGGUGAGUAAUGUCUGGGAAACUGCCUGAUGGCGGGGGAUAACUACUGGAAACGGUGGCUAAUACCGCAUACCAUCAGAUGGGCCCAUAUGGGAUUAGCUAGUUGGUGGGGUAACGGCUCACCAAGGCGACGAUCCCUAGCUGGUCUGAGAGGACGACCAGCCACACUGGAACUGAGACACGGGCCAGACUCCUACGGGAGGCAGCAGUGGGGAAUAUUGGACAAUGGGCGAAAGCCUGAUGCAGCCAUGCCGCGUGUAUGAAGAAGGCCUUCGGGUUGUAAAGUACUUUUAGCGGGGAGGCGUUAUCCGCAGAAGAAGCACCGGCUAACUCCGUGCCAGCAGCCGCGGUAAUUC
rnacentral:rRNA from 1 species